GACGAACGCUGGCGGCGUGCCUAAUACAUGCAAGUUGAGCGCUGAAGGUUGGUGCUUGUACCAACUGGAUGAGCAGCGAACGGGUGAGUAACGCGUGGGGAAUCUGCCUUUGAGCGGGGGACAACAUUUGGAAACGAAUGCUAAUACCGCAUAAAAACUUUAAACACAAGUUUUAAGUUUGAAAGAUGCAAUUGCAUCACUCAAAGAUGAUCCCGCGUUGUAUUAGCUAGUUGGUGAGGUAAAGGCUCACCAAGGCGAUGAUACAUAGCCGACCUGGGAGGGUGAUCGGCCACAUUGGGACUGAGACACGGCCCAAACUCCUACGGGAGGCAGCAGUAGGGAAUCUUCGGCAAUGGACGAAAGUCUGACCGAGCAACGCCGCGUGAGUGAAGAAGGUUUUCGGAUCGUAAAACUCUGUUGGUAGAGAAGAACGUUGGUGAGAGUGGAAAGCUCAUCAAGUGACGGUAACUACCCAGAAAGGGACGGCUAACUACGUG
rnacentral:rRNA from 1 species